CACGUAGGGCGCAAGCGUUGUCCGGCAUUAUUGGGCGUAAAGAGCUCGUAGGCGGUCUGUUGCGUCCGCUGUGAAAACCCGGGGCUUAACCCCUGGCUUGCAGUGGAUACGGACAGACUAGAGGUAGGUAGGGGAGAAUGGAAUUCCCGGUGUAGCGGUGAAAUGCGCAGAUAUCGGGAGGAACACCGGUGGCGAAGGCGGUUCUCUGGGCCUUACCUGACGCUGAGGAGCGAAAGCGUGGGGAGCGAACAGG
rnacentral:rRNA from 1 species